UAACUUCCCGAAACUAGGCGAGCUACUUCGAAACAGCGGCAAGGGCAAACCCGUCUCUGUUGCAAAAGAGUGGGAAGAUUUCCAAGUAGAAGCGACAAACCUAUCGCGCCAAGAGAUAGCUGGUUACUCAAGAAAAGGAUAUUAGUUCUACCUUAAAUUUAAUUUGUCCACUCAAACCCCAACAAAAUUUAAGAGCUAUUUAAAUAAGGCACAGCUUAUUUAAAACAGGAUACAACCUAUUAUAUAGGGUAACAAAUUUAAGAAUAACACCAAGUGGGCCUAAAAGCAGCCACCUUUUAAAAAGCGUUAAAGCUUUGUAAAUAUUCUUUUAAAUAACACAACUAUUUUUUAACCCAUUACUAAUAUUGAGUAAUUCCAUAAUUAUAUGGAAGAUCUAAUGCUAGAACUAGUAACAAGAAGUAGAACUUCUCCAAAAUGUAAGCCUAAGCCAUUUUAAACAUCCUACUGGCAAUUAACGUCUAUGAGCCUAUUUUAUUAACAUUUCAAGAAAACUUUAAAUACUCCAAACGUUAAACUUACACUAGAACAUUUCUGGAAAGAUCAAAAGAAAAAGAAGGAACUCGGCAAACCUUAACCCCGCCUGUUUACCAAAAACAUCGCCUCUUGUUUAUACAUAAGAGGUCUAGCCUGCCCAGUGACAAAGUUCAACGGCCGCGGUACCCUAACCGUGCGAAGGUAGCAUAAUCACUUGUUCUUUAAAUGAGGACUUGUAUCAACGGCAUCACGAGGGUUAAACUGUCUCCCUUUUCAUAUCAGUGAAACUGAUCUCUCCGUGAAGAAGCGGAGAUAAUACCAUAAGACGAGAAGACCCCAUGGAGCUUUAAACCCAACUACACCCUAGCCUAAUUACUACUUCUUAAUUUUAAGGUCCUGUAUGUUUUGGUUUUAGGUUGGGGUGACCGCGGAGUAUAAACUAACCUCCACAAUGAAUAGAUUUCCUCUUUAUCUAAGAGCUACACCUCCAAGAAUUAGAAUUCUAACAUAAAAUGAUCCGAUAUUUGAUCAACGAACCAAGUUACCCUGGGGAUAACAGCGCAAUCCACUUCAAGAGCUCCUAACCCCAGUAGGGUUUACAACCCAACGUGUGUCAUGGUAAG
rnacentral:rRNA from 1 species